UACGAAGGGUGCAAGCGUUAAUCGGAAUUACUGGGCGUAAAGGGUGCGUAGGCGGUUCGUUAAGUCUGUCGUGAAAUCCCCGAGCUCAACUUGGGAAUUGCAGUGGAUACUGGCAAGCUAGAGUAUGGUAGAGGAAGGUGGAAUUCCCGGUGUAGCAGUGAAAUGCGUAGAGAUCGGGAGGAACACCAGUGGCGAAGGCGGCCUUCUGGACCAAUACUGACGCUCAUGCACGAAAGCGUGGGGAGCAAACAGG
rnacentral:rRNA from 1 species